rnacentral:rRNA from 1 species
AUUGAACGCUGGCGGCGUGCCUAACACAUGCAAGUCGAGCGGUAACAGGUGUAGCAAUACAUGCUGACGAGCGGCGGACGGGUGAGUAACGCUUGGGAAUCUGCCUAUUAGUGGGGGACAACCCGGGGAAACUCGGGCUAAUACCGCAUACGCUCUACGGAGGAAAGCCGGGGACCGCAAGGCCUGGCGCUAAUAGAUGAGCCCAAGUCGGAUUAGCUAGUUGGUAGGGUAANGGCCUACCAAGGCGACGAUCCGUAACUGGUCUGAGAGGACGACCAGUCACACCGGAACUGAGACACGGUCCGGGACUCCUACGGGAGGCAGCAGUGGGGAAUAUUGGACAAUGGGCGAAAGCCUGAUCCAGCGACGCCGCGUGGGUGAAGAAGGCCUGCGGGUUGUAAAGCCCUUUCAGUGGGGAAGAAAAGCCUCGACCUAACACGUCGGGGUCUUGACGUAACCCAUAGAAGAAGCACCGGCUAACUCUGUGCCAGCAGCCGCAGUAAU